UACGUAGGGGGCAAGCGUUGUCCGGAAUCAUUGGGCGUAAAGCGCGUGUAGGCGGCCCGAUAAGUCCGCUGUGAAAGUCCAGGGCUCAACCCUGGGAUGCCGGUGGAUACUGUCGGGCUCGAGUCCGGAAGAGGCGAGUGGAAUUCCUGGUGUAGCGGUGAAAUGCGCAGAUAUCAGGAGGAACACCAAUGGCGAAGGCAGCUCGCUGGGACGUGACUGACGCUGAGGCACGAAAGCGUGGGUAGCAAACAGG
rnacentral:rRNA from 1 species